rnacentral:lncRNA from 1 species
UACAGUGGAGGCCAAAACCUACUGAUUAGGUUUCUGGGGCAAAAUUAAAAUUACUAAAAAUUAUUUAGAGAAACAAUUGGUUAUGAACCUACCCUUAGAUGUACAUGGGUUGGCCAACCAAAGUUGGGCUUGUGUGCAGUCUAAGUGGAUUCUAGUACCCACUAAGAAAUUAAGAUAAUUCCUUGAAUUAGAGGUAGAGGCUAUCAAUUUGAAUAAAAUAGUAGGAGAACUUUUUGAUUAA